GACGAACCGUGCGAACGUUAUUCGGAAUCACUGGGCUUAAAGCGCGUGUAGGCGGGCCGGCACGUCGGUCGCUGAAAUCCCCCGGCUCAACCGGGGAAGGGGCGCCGAUACGACCGGCCUGGAGGGACGUAGGGGGACCUGGAACUUCCGGUGGAGCGGUGAAAUGCGUUGAGAUCGGAAGGAACGCCCGUGGCGAAAGCGAGGUCCUGGACGUCUACUGACGCUGAGACGCGAAAAGCUAGGGGAGCAAACGGGG
rnacentral:rRNA from 1 species